AUAGAAGGAUACAGAUGUCCCAUUAAAUCAAUCAAGGAUAGGCCUCAAUCCGCCAGCCCAACUUCAGGUUCAAGUAUUUACAUCCCUCCCUAACUGAGUUCCCCACGCCUGUUAGCCAUGGAACGCAGCGCAGGACCUAGGUGGGACGCACUUCUGUGUUCCCCAGGCAACCGCUAGCCCUGCGUCCGGACAUGACGCGGCGGAAACAGCUGGGUGUACUGGACACGGCGGCGGAAGUGAAAGACGGCGGCACCGGUGGUGUGGGGUGUUACUUAAGUGGUGGAAUCCUGGCAACAGUCCCCCACGCCCCCGUGUGACGGACUAGAGAGCGGGCAUCCGGUAAUCUGACUGAGUCCGGUGCCGGAAGUCUGGACCCCGGAAGCUCAGCGGUGGCGCGGAGAGGACGGUUGGAGGCACG